GCUCCUUAAGGGGGUCCCCACAUGGCCCACCUUGUCCACAGCCUUGGCCACACAACGCACAUGGAACCUCCGGCUGAAGUAAAUGCUGUCCAGGACCUAACAGGAAGAAAAAAUCACCUCCAAUGCUCAGCAGAAGGAUGACCCAAGUGUUAUUCAGGCUUCUAGCAAGACUGGUUGGCCUCCAAAUCACUGUUGCUGAGAGCAUGAUGUCAGGAGACAGAGGAAAUAUGCUUCCUUCCCAGGAAUUCUCAUGGUCUCUUUAUCCUACUGUUAUCCUCCCUCGAUCAUCCCAUCUCCCUACCCAGUGACCACACACUGCAAGGGUUAUAAUAACAUGCAGGCUUGAAGCUGAGAACUUGGCCUCUGACACCUUCUAGUCUUUGAAGGUCUUUCCACAGAUUCCUCCAAGUCCCCAAACAUACAGAAGCCCUAAGAGUGCUUAACUCAAUCUAUGCAGAGGCAAUGUAGGUCACCAGGACUCUUUAGGUUAUGUGUGCAUUUACAUAGGGAAGUAUAUAACAAGAAAAAUUAAUCAGUAGUUCUGUGUGCCACAGACCUCUCACAAAGCAAUCACACAAACUUAUACAUUUUACCCAUGAAAACAAUUUUCACUGAAG
rnacentral:lncRNA from 10 species